CAUAGCAGAAAUAGCUGAGACAGCAUUCGGAUACAUUCUCUGAAAGCGUAACAUUAUAGUGCCCGAAAAUUAAGUGUUUCAAAUAUUAAACUAAAUUCCUCAUUUCUAUCGCGAAACGUUUAAUAUCAUAAUUCGUUGCUUUUCUUUUAAAAAUAAAAGACAAAGUAGUGAAAGGUGUUGCGGGGCUAUUAUGUCAUCAUGCAUGACGCAAGCUGUGAUGCGCUAUAUGCUUGACGCGGUUUUGCCGUUUGCUACUUCUCUUCUCAUUGAUGACGAUAGUUGCAGACAAGUUGAAAUCGACACGUGAGGAUGAUCGUUGAAAAUAAAAGCGCAAUACAAGACCCGACUGACAUGCUUCUACAAGAUAUCCAACGAUACUACACGCCAAUUCUCGUACAUUUCGGUCUGCUGGGCAACUGUCUAUCCGUAUGCGUGUUCUUCGGUACGAAGCUGCGUUAUUCCUCGUCCAGCAUUUACUUGGGCGCGCUGGCAAUAAGCGACACUAUCUUCCUGGUGACAAUCUUCGUAGUCUGGCUCAGUAUGGUACAUGUGGAUCUGUUCAAUCGAUGGGGCUUCUGCCAGUUCUUCAUUUAUCUCAGCACUCUCUGCAGUUUCCUCAGCGUGUGGCUCGUAGUGACCUUCACUGUCGAAAGAUACGUGGCGGUCAAGUGGCCGCUUCGUCGUCAGUCUUUAUGUACGGUCAGCCGAGCAAAAGCUGUAGUGAUUGGGCUGACAGCAUUAGCGAUUCCAAUCUGUAGUCCGGUACUCCUAUUCUCUACAUCCAAUGGGAACGCAACUGGCUGUGAUUUGGAUAAGGAGUGGGAAUCCUGGGCCAAAAUCUACAAUACCUUCGACACUGUCAUGACGUUCGCCUUACCCCUGACCAUUAUAGUGAUCUUUAAUACCCUGAUAGCGCGCAACAUUUACAAACUCGAUCAUAUCCGACGAACUUUGACUACAGAAUCCAACGCCUCUUCCAACGAUAACGCUCAGACUCUUCGGGAUAGGAUGCCACAGACUAAAGUUACGAAAAUGCUUCUGCUCGUAUCGAGCGCAUUCUUCUGUCUCAAUAUGCCAUCGUUCGUCCUUAGGGUGAUUGCUUUUCUUUACGAACAUCCCGAAUCACCAAUAUGGCUCAUUGCGGCGCAGCAAAUGUGCAAUCUAUUAUUCAACACGAGUUUCGGAAUAAACUUUGUUUUUUACUGCGCGAGUGGGCAGAAUUUUCGCAGAGCGAUGGUCCGCAUGUUUAUGAAGCGAUCAAAUUCUAGAAGAAAUACUAGAAGCAAAACUCUCAUGCAGAUGGCGAGUCAUGGAAAGCAGUAUGUUUCAGAAUUCACGCAUAGAUGCAAUUCGACGAAACAAUCGCACUUGAACAAUACGCAACAAAAAAAUUCUCACGAAACGCAACAGUUCUCAAUAAAUGAAGAAUUAUGAUACAAUGAAAAAUUCAUUUCAUCACAAUUAACUAAAUAAACCAUGUGUUAAAAGUGGACAAUUAAAAACUGAUAUUAUAUAGUGCACGGAUAUAUGUACAGUAUUAUAGUGCACAAGAGUUACUUACCAGCCUCAAGUUCUGUAGUUGAAAGCGGACCUACGUUUCCGAAAAAGCGUUGAUCCAACAGUUGAAGAAGUUGAAGCGCCGCAUCGUGAACCGGAGCGCGAGGACAUCCUGUAUUCAUUAAAGUGACGUUGAUGACACUGGUAUAGUGAUCGCAAGGAUAUUCUCUGAAAAAAUUAUAAACAUUCAAUUUUUACGAGUCUUAUUGCUGUAUUUCGGAAGACGAUUAUAUCAUCGAUUAUAUCUUCAUUAAUACAGAAAUAUGCGUCCCAUAAUCUUUACUCGCUAUAUCGCUGAAAAUUGUUGCCAAAGCGAGAAAACAACCGUCAGCUACUUGCGGAGCACCAGUAUAACAUCGAUCUACCACCCAAUCCAAGAGCGUACCAAUAUCAGGAUUUCCUUCGAGCAACAAAACGACGGUUUCACGUGCGAGUGCAUAAAUCUGCAACAGAGAUAAAAGCUUAUACGAAAGAGAGACAAUUAAUUUACCUUUUCAUCUUUACUGGCCAAUAAUGAAUCCAACCAUUGAUAUAAAAUGGCGCCUUCUUCUGAAAGCGACUGCGGAUUGAAGCACGAUCCACAACAGAGUAAUCCGCUCAUAGCUUGCAAGGAUGAGAGUUGCAAUUCCGUGCAAGAUUUUUCCUCCUCUUGCAUAGACGACGUGCUUGUAAGCGGUUUGCCGUAAACGCCGGCCCAACUGGCAAAGAGCAUGAACAGGUUUCUUCUUAAAUCCCUCUUCAACAAGGUGUAACAAAUCUCCACUAGAGAAACAAAAAAAUUAACAAUAAAUUACUCAGACAUUAUAUACAUAUAU